GAUGAACGCUAGCGGGAGGCCUAACACAUGCAAGCCGAGCGGUAUUGUUUCUUCGGAAAUGCGAGAGCGGCGUACGGGUGCGUAACACGUGUGCAACCUGCCUUUAUCUGGGGGAUAGCCUUUCGAAAGGAAGAUUAAUACUCCAUAAUAUAUUGAACGCCAUCGUUUAAUAUUUAAAGCUCCGGCGGAUAGAGAUGGGCACGCGCAAGAUUAGCUAGUUGGUGAGGUAACGGCUCACCAAGGCGAUGAUCUUUAGGGGGCCUGAGAGGGUGAUCCCCCACACUGGUACUGAGACACGGACCAGACUCCUACGGGAGGCAGCAGUGAGGAAGAUUGGUCAAUGGGUGCAAGCCUGAACCAGCCAUCCCGCGUGAAGGACGACUGCCCUAUGGGUUGUAAACUUCUUUUGGAUAGGGAUAAACCUACCCUCGAGAGGGUAGCUGAAGGUACUAUACGAAUAAGCACCGGCUAACUCCGUG
rnacentral:rRNA from 1 species